CACUUUGAUUUGGUAAUACAACUAUAGCCAAGACAAUGCUUCAUUAUAAGUGCAUAACUUUUCACUUUAUUGUUUGAGCAUUGUGUUGAUUUCUCUAAACUUGUUUUUCGUUGAACAAGAUUGUUUUUUCAUAUACUCAUGGAAAGCAACACCGUGCUCAGAAGUUAGAGUGAAAUGUUAUGCAUUUGUGAUUAUAUAUUUUCUUGGCUAGAGUUGUAUUGCCAAGUGAAGUGUUUUAAUUG